UUAAGCGACUAAGCGUACACGGUGGAUGCCUAGGCAGUCAGAGGCGAUGAAGGGCGUGCUAAUCUGCGAAAAGCGUCGGUAAGGUGAUAUGAACCGUUAUAACCGACGAUACCCGAAUGGGGAAACCCAGUGCAAUUCGUUGCACUAUUGCAUGGUGAAUACAUAGCCAUGCAAGGCGAACCGGGGGAACUGAAACAUCUAAGUACCCCGAGGAAAAGAAAUCAACCGAGAUUCCCCUAGUAGCGGCGAGCGAACGGGGAGGAGCCCAGAGUCUGAAUCAGUUUGUGUGUUAGUGGAAGCGUCUGGAAAGUCGCAGGGUACAGGGUGAUACUCCCGUACACAAAAACACACUUGCUGUGAACUCGAUGAGUAGGGCGGGACACGUGACAUCCUGUCUGAAUAUGGGGGGACCAUCCUCCAAGGCUAAAUACUCCUGACUGACCGAUAGUGAACCAGUACCGUGAGGGAAAGGCGAAAAGAACCCCGGCGAGGGGAGUGAAAUAGAACCUGAAACCGUGUACGUACAAGCAGUGGGAGCACCUUCGUGGUGUGACUGCGUACCUUUUGUAUAAUGGGUCAGCGACUUAUAUUUUGUAGCAAGGUUAACCGAAUAGGGGAGCCGUAGGGAAACCGAGUCUUAACUGGGCGUCUAGUUGCAAGGUAUAGACCCGAAACCCGGUGAUCUAGCCAUGGGCAGGUUGAAGGUUGGGUAACACUAACUGGAGGACCGAACCGACUAAUGUUGAAAAAUUAGCGGAUGACUUGUGGCUGGGGGUGAAAGGCCAAUCAAACCGGGAGAUAGCUGGUUCUCCCCGAAAGCUAUUUAGGUAGCGCCUCGUGAACUCAUCUUCGGGGGUAGAGCACUGUUUCGGCUAGGGGGCCAUCCCGGCUUACCAAACCGAUGCAAACUCCGAAUACCGAAGAAUGUUAUCACGGGAGACACACGGCGGGUGCUAACGUCCGUCGUGAAGAGGGAAACAACCCAGACCGCCAGCUAAGGUCCCAAAGUCAUGGUUAAGUGGGAAACGAUGUGGGAAGGCAUAGACAGCCAGGAUGUUGGCUUAGAAGCAGCCAUCAUUUAAAGAAAGCGUAAUAGCUCACUGGUCGAGUCGGCCUGCGCGGAAGAUGUAACGGGGCUAAACCAUGCACCGAAGCUGCGGCAGCGACACUUAGGUGUUGUUGGGUAGGGGAGCGUUCUGUAAGCCGUUGAAGGUGACCUGUGAGGGUUGCUGGAGGUAUCAGAAGUGCGAAUGCUGACAUAAGUAACGAUAAUGCGGGUGAAAAACCCGCACGCCGGAAGACCAAGGGUUCCUGUCCAACGUUAAUCGGGGCAGGGUGAGUCGACCCCUAAGGCGAGGCUGAAAAGCGUAGUCGAUGGGAAACAGGUUAAUAUUCCUGUACUUGGUGUUACUGCGAAGGGGGGACGGAGAAGGCUAGGCUAGCCGGGCGACGGUUGUCCCGGUUUAAGCAUGUAGGCGGAGCGACUUGGUAAAUCCGGUUGCUUAUCAACGCUGAGGUGUGAUGACGAGUCACUACGGUGAUGAAGUAGUUGAUGCCAAGCUUCCAGGAAAAGCCUCUAAGCAUCAGGUAACAUUAAAUCGUACCCCAAACCGACACAGGUGGUCAGGUAGAGAAUACUCAGGCGCUUGAGAGAACUCGGGUGAAGGAACUAGGCAAAAUGGUGCCGUAACUUCGGGAGAAGGCACGCUGGCAUUAGGUAAUGGGACUUGCUCCCGGCGCCGAAGCCAGUCGCAGAUACCAGCUGGCUGCAACUGUUUAAUAAAAACACAGCACUGUGCAAACACGAAAGUGGACGUAUACGGUGUGACGCCUGCCCGGUGCUGGAAGGUUAAUUGAUGGGGUCAGCCGCAAGGCGAAGCUCUUGAUCGAAGCCCCAGUAAACGGCGGCCGUAACUAUAACGGUCCUAAGGUAGCGAAAUUCCUUGUCGGGUAAGUUCCGACCUGCACGAAUGGCGUAAUGAUGGCCAGGCUGUCUCCACCCGAGACUCAGUGAAAUUGAACUCGCUGUGAAGAUGCAGUGUACCCGCGGCAAGACGGAAAGACCCCGUGAACCUUUACUAUAGCUUGACACUGAACAUUGAGCCUUGAUGUGUAGGAUAGGUGGGAGGCAUUGAAGUGUGGACGCCAGUCUGCAUGGAGCCAACCUUGAAAUACCACCCUUUAAUGUUUGAUGUUCUAACUCGGCCCCGUAAUCCGGGGUGAGGACAGUGUCUGGUGGGUAGUUUGACUGGGGCGGUCUCCUCCCAAAGAGUAACGGAGGAGCACGAAGGUUAGCUAAUCACGGUCGGACAUCGUGAGGUUAGUGCAAAGGCAUAAGCUAGCUUGACUGCGAGAGUGACGGCUCGAGCAGGUACGAAAGUAGGUCUUAGUGAUCCGGUGGUUCUGAAUGGAAGGGCCAUCGCUCAACGGAUAAAAGGUACUCCGGGGAUAACAGGCUGAUACCGCCCAAGAGUUCAUAUCGACGGCGGUGUUUGGCACCUCGAUGUCGGCUCAUCACAUCCUGGGGCUGAAGUAGGUCCCAAGGGUAUGGCUGUUCGCCAUUUAAAGUGGUACGCGAGCUGGGUUUAGAACGUCGUGAGACAGUUCGGUCCCUAUCUGCCGUGGGCGUUGGAAGAUUGAGAGGGGCUGCUCCUAGUACGAGAGGACCGGAGUGGACGAAUCACUGGUGUUCGGGUUGUCAUGCCAAUGGCAUUGCCCGGUAGCUAAAUUCGGAAGAGAUAACCGCUGAAAGCAUCUAAGCGGGAAACUUGCCUCGAGAUGAGUCUUCCCUGGGGCUUUAAGCCCCCUGAAGGAACGUUAAAGACUAUGACGUUGAUAGGCUGGGUGUGUAAGUGCAGCGAUGCAUUGAGCUAACCAGUACUAAUGAUCCGUGAGGCUUAACCUU
rnacentral:rRNA from 2 species